rnacentral:piRNA from 1 species
UGAUAACCAUGAUGGAUAGAAAUGAAGAG